rnacentral:rRNA from 1 species
UAUGUGAUCGUCUCUCGCAUAUCAAUAAGCGGAGGAAAAGAAACUAACAAGGAUUCCCCUAGUAACGGCGAGUGAAGCGGGAAGAGCUCAAAUUUGAAAUCUUAAAGGGUUUCCCUUUACGAAUUGUAGUUUAAAGAAGUGUUUUCUGUUGAGGUUUUGGUAAAAGUUCUUUGGAAUAGGACAUCAUAGAGGGUGAGAAUCCCGUAUUUGACCUUUACUUUCAACUUUGUGAUACACUUUCAAAGAGUCGGAUUGUUUGGGAAUGCAGUCCAAAAUGGGUGGUAAAUUUCAUCUAAAGCUAAAUAUUGGCGAGAGACCGAUAGCGAACAAGUACCGUGAGGGAAAGAUGAAAAGAACUUUGAAAAGAGAGUUAAACAGUACGUGAAAUUGUCAAAAGGGAAGCGUUUGACACCAGUGUUGUUUUUCUGAAAAUCAAUUAAAGAACUGUUUAUGCUAAGUUGUUUAGACUUUAUCAGCUAACUGUUUAGUUUUGAGCUUUUCUUUAAUGCACUUUUCAGUUAACAAGUCAACAUCAAUUUCUUUUGCUGUAAAAAAGCUUGAGGAAGGUGGCUUGAGAUUCGUCUUAAGUGUUUAUAGCCUCUUGCCUAUGCAGUCGGAGAGAUUGAGGUCUGCAGCGUAGAUCCUUCGGGGCUAAAUGCAUUUGUGCUAAGUUAUAACAUUUUAUAGACAACUUGUUGACUAUGAUUUGUCUUGUAGCUUACUCGCUUAUGUUAUUUUACCUACGCUUAGGAUGUUGAAGAUAUGCGCGACACG